rnacentral:rRNA from 1 species
CAGGACGAACGCUGGCGGCGUGCUUAACACAUGCAAGUCGAACGGUGAACCCGCUUCGGUGGGGGAUCAGUGGCGAACGGGUGAGUAACACGUGGGCAACCUGCCCCCGGCUCUGGGAUAACUCCAAGGAAUUGGGGCUAAUACCGGAUAUUUCCGCUGACCGCAUGGUCUGGUGGUGGAAAGGGUUUCCGGCUGGGGAUAGGCCCGCGGCCUAUCAGCUUGUUGGUGGGGUAGUGGCCUACCAAGGCGACGACGGGUAGCCGGCCUGAGAGGGUGACCGGCCACACUGGGACUGAGACACGGCCCAGACUCCUACGGGAGGCAGCAGUGGGGAAUAUUGCGCAAUGGGCGAAAGCCUGACGCAGCGACGCCGCGUGGGGGAUGACGGCCUUCGGGUUGUAAACCUCUUUCAGCAGGGACGAAGCCGUGAGGUGACGGUACCUGCAGAAGAAGCACCGGCCAACUACGUGCCAGCAGCCGCGGUAAUACGUAGGGUGCAAGCGUUGUCCGGAAUUAUUGGGCGUAAAGAGCUCGUAGGCGGUUCGUCGCGUCGGCUGUGAAAUCCCGAGGCUCAACCUCGGGUCUGCAGUCGAUACGGGCGGACUGGAGUUCGGCAGGGGAGACUGGAAUUCCUGGUGUAGCGGUGAAAUGCGCAGAUAUCAGGAGGAACACCGGUGGCGAAGGCGGGUCUCUGGGCCGAUACUGACGCUGAGGAGCGAAAGCGUGGGGAGCGAACAGGAUUAGAUACCCUGGUAGUCCACGCCGUAACCGUUGGGCGCUAGGUGUGGGGGCCAUUCCACGGUCUCCGUGCCGCAGCUAACGCAUUAAGCGCCCCGCCUGGGGAGUACGGCCGCAAGGGCUAAAACUCAAG